GUCUUCUCAAUGGGUCCCUUUCUGUUUCUUGGUGGCAGUUUAUAGAUUUGCAUGAGAAGAAUUCACAGAACUAGCAUUAUUUUACCUUCUGUCUUUAUGGAGGUAUAUUUCGCUGUUUUGUGAGACAUUC
ensembl:snoRNA SNORA75 Small nucleolar RNA SNORA75